rnacentral:rRNA from 1 species
AGAGUUUGAUUCUGGCUCAGGAUGAACGCUAGCGACAGGCUUAACACAUGCAAGUCGAGGGGCAGCGGGUAGAUGAGCUUGCUCAUUUAUGCCGGCGACCGGCGCACGGGUGAGUAACACGUAUGCAACCUGCCCGUCUCAGGGGGAUAAUCGUCGGAAACGGCGUCUAAUACCCCGUAUGAAGCUGGAUGGCAUCGUCUGGUUUUGAAAGAAUAUCGGAGACGGAUGGGCAUGCGGCGCAUUAGCUAGUUGGCGGGGUAACGGCCCACCAAGGCGACGAUGCGUAGGGGUUCUGAGAGGAAGGUCCCCCACACUGGUACUGAGACACGGACCAGACUCCUACGGGAGGCAGCAGUGAGGAAUAUUGGUCAAUGGGCGAGAGCCUGAACCAGCCAAGUCGCGUGAGGGAGUACUGCCCUAUGGGUUGUAAACCUCUUUUGUCGGGGAGCAAAAGCCGGACGUGUCCGUCUGUGAGAGUACCCGAAGAAAAAGCAUCGGCUAACUCCGUGCCAGCAGCCGCGGUAAUACGGAGGAUGCGAGCGUUAUCCGGAUUUAUUGGGUUUAAAGGGUGCGCAGGCGGAUUUUU